CAAUAGCGUAUAUUAAAGUUGUUGCAGUUAAAAAGCUCGUAGUUGGAUUUCUGGUGGGAGCGAUCGGUCUGGCGCUUAGCGCGAGUACUUGCAUCGUCUCCGGCCAUCCUUGGGGAGAGUCUGUCUGGCAUUAGGUUGUCGGGCAGAGGAUCCUCAUCGUUUACUGUGAAAAAAUUAGAGUGUUCAAUGCAGGCUUAUGCCGUUGAAUAUAUUAGCAUGGAAUAAUAAGAUAGGACUUUGGUACUAUUUUGUUGGUUUGCGCACCAAAGUAAUGAUUAAUAGGGACAGUUGGGGGUAUUCGUAUUCCGUUGUCAGAGGUGAAAUUCUUGGAUUUACGGAAGACGAACUACUGCGAAAGCAUUUACCAAGGAUGUUUUCAUUAA
rnacentral:rRNA from 1 species